GACAGAGGGGGCGAGCGUUAAUCGGAUUUACUGGGCGUAAAGCGUGCGCAGGCGGUUCGCUAAGACAGGUGUGAAAUCCCUGGGCUCAACCUAGGAAUUGCGCUUGUGACUGGCGGGCUAGAGUACGGUAGAGGGGGGUGGAAUUCCUGGUGUAGCAGUGAAAUGCGUAGAGAUCAGGAGGAACACCGAUGGCGAAGGCAGCCCCCUGGGCCUGUACUGACGCUCAGGCACGAAAGCGUGGGGAGCAAACAGG
rnacentral:rRNA from 1 species